CCUACGGGAGGCAGCAGUGGGGAAUAUUGCACAAUGGGGGGAACCCUGAUGCAGCGACGCCGCGUGAGUGAAGAAGUAUUUCGGUAUGUAAAGCUCUAUCAGCAGGGAAGAAAAUGACGGUACCUGACUAAGAAGCCCCGGCUAACUACGUGCCAGCAGCCGCGGUAAUACGUAGGGGGCAAGUGUUAUCCGGAUUUACUGGGUGUAAAGGGAGCGCAGACGGCUGUGCAAGUCUGGAGUGAAAGGCGGGGACGCAAGUCAGAUGUGAAAACCACGGGCUCAACCUGGGGCCUGCAUUUGAAACUGUGUUUCUUGAGUACGGGAGAGGCAGACGGAAUUCCUAGUGUAGCGGUGAAAUGCGUAGAUAUUAGGAGGAACACCAGUGGCGAAGGCGGUCUGCUGGACAGCAACUGACGCUGAGGCGCGAAAGCGUGGGGAGCAAACAGGAUUAGAUACCCGGGUAGUC
rnacentral:rRNA from 1 species